AAAAUAUCUGUUCAAGCAGAGGACAAACAAAAUAUUUUGAAUCCAGAUCUUCACCAAAAACGAUUUUAUCUGUCAGAUAUGCAAAAUAAAUUUAAACUUAUAUAUCUAAAAACAUUUAAAACUUCCCAAACUGCACAGGUAAGUCUGAACACAGUAUUUUUUUAGGUGAAAAUUCGGUCGUAUUUGCCAAUUUGUCAUGAUGAACCUAAAUACUAGUGUUAAAUUUUGACUAAAUAAUUUAUAUCUAUAGCGCUGUCAGAAGGGCUUUGGUGAAAAAAAUCUAGUUUACUUUUCAAGUUUUCAUUAUAUGACAG
rnacentral:lncRNA from 1 species